AUCAGUCCCUCGGGGCUGGGUCACAGGAAGGAAGUGGGCGGCCCUGCGCUGUUGAUGAUGGUUUUGCUUUUCAUUUGGCCACAAAGCUCCAUUGAACCAGCGGGGCGAGCUGGUGUUCGGGGAUCAAUCUGAAGGAACCCAGUAAAUAGAGCUGUGCUUUUCUCUGCCUUUUUCUGGCAGACCACCAGGCGAGAAGCUGUUGUGGGUCCAUCCCCAAAAGCCUCCCAAGAACCCUCGCCCUGGAGAUGCUGAGGGAGGCUCCCCGAGCUCCAUGCUGUCAGGAGGCAGCCCGACAUCCACUGCCCCCGAAGAGCCCAGCAGGCAGGAGCCUGGGCUGGCUGUCUCCAGCUUCUUGGAAGGGGAGCCUGCAGCUGCCUCCUUCCCGGGGCCCCUGGAGAAAGAAACCGCUCUCCUUUCCGCCUCCCAGGAAGCCAUGCACAGCCCCGGCGCCCCAGAGCUGGAGGGAUCUCCGGGUCCAGGAGCUCAGAUGCCGGCGGACAGCUCCCAGCCCACGUGGAGUGGCUGGAAGCCCGGGAGCCCUGUGUCUGAAGAGGGAGCCGCAGCCUACAGCCCCAAGACGGCUGGCCAGGACCCAGGGAAAGAGCAAGGGGCCAGUGUGCUGGACAGCGGGGACAGGGGCAGCCCUGUGCCCGAGGGGGCUCAGGGGCUGGGUGGACCAGAAGGACAGCUGCCUUGCAGUGGUGCUGAGGGGACGAAGCUAGACCAUGGUGACACCCAGGAGGCCGGCGCCCUGCCUGGUACCCUGGGAGGAGGAGUUGGCAUCUCCAGCACCCCUGUGCCCACUCCCUCCUUGGCCACACUGUGCAUGAAGGCCUGGGCUUCAACACCCAGAGGGGCAGGCGGGCAGGCAGGUGCCCCCCUGGGGACCACUGUCACAGCAGACACAGGCACAGAUGCCACCAGGACAGACCCGGGGGCCCUGGGAAUGGCCCAGCCACCUGCCUGUCCCAGGGAGCAGACCCCACCGGGCUGCAGGUCUGUAUGUGAGGAGACCCCAGGAGGCCAGGGGGAGGCAGGGCCAGAAGAGCAGCCCCCCAGAGACAGCCCAGGGAGCCCCACAGUCCUUCAGGCUGCAGUUCCAGGAAACCCAGAGCCUGCUGUGGAUGCCCAAGACCCAGCACCAGACCUGGGCCCAAGCAGUGAUCACACACAAGCCCCUGGUCCUGCUGUGGAGUGGGCGGGAACAGCACAGCUCGAAGACAGAUGGGCAGUGGAGUCGGACGGCCAGCACCUUGGGGGAAGCUGUGUGGGGUCCAGCGCUGCCACCAAGGGCCCUUUCCAGGAGGCCAGAGUCUGCCAGGGAGGUCUGGAAGCACCCACACCCCCACCAGACCCAUGCCAGCACCCUCUGGACCUUGCAGACCAGGCUGGGUGGCCAGAGACCCUGGCCAUGGAGCUGGACUUCCUUCCUGACAGCCAACUGCAGGCCGCACUGGAUGCCCCUGGCUUGGAAACCCCGGCAGAGCAGGAACAUCCCGCAGGGAACGAGUCGGUCCUCUGCUGGCCCAGCCUGGGCACCAGUCGGGGGGACCGAGUCCCGGAGACAGAGGCUCAGCCAAGGAUGGAGGACGCCUCGGACACAGUGCGGGGCCUCAUCGUGGAGCUCUCCAACCUCAAGU
ensembl:lincRNA